CCUACGGGUGGCAGCAGUGAGGAAUCUUGGUCAAUGGGCGAGAGCCUGCCCCAGCCAAGCCGCGUGCGGGCGUACUGCCCUAUGGGUUGUACACCUCUUUUGUCGGGGAGCAAAAGCAUGACGUGUCCGGCUGUGAGAGUACCCGAAGAAAAAGCAUCGGCUAACUCCGUGCCAGCAGCCGCGGUAAUACGGAGGAUGCGGGCUUUAUCCGGAUUUACUGGGUUUAAAGGGUGCGCAGGCGGAUUUUUAAGUCAGCGGUCAAACCGUGGGGCUCAACCCCAUCCAGCCGUUGAAACUGGGGAUCUAGAGUGUGCGAGAGGUAUGCGGAAUGCGUGGUGUAGCGGUGAAAUGCAUAGAUAUCACGCAGAACCCCGAUUGCGAAGGCAGCAUACCGGUGCACAACUGACGCUCAGGCACGAAAGCGUGGGUAUCGAACAGGAUUAGAUACCCUUGUAGUC
rnacentral:rRNA from 1 species